UGGGGAAUAUUGGACAAUGGGCGAAAGCCUGAUCCAGCCAUGCCGCGUGUGUGAAGAAGGUCUUCGGAUUGUAAAGCACUUUAAGUUGGGAGGAAGGGCAUUAACCUAAUACGUUAGUGUUUUGACGUUACCGACAGAAUAAGCACCGGCUAACUCUGUGCCAGCAGCCGCGGUAAUACAGAGGGUGCAAGCGUUAAUCGGAAUUACUGGGCGUAAAGCGCGCGUAGGUGGUUUGUUAAGUUGGAUGUGAAAUCCCCGGGCUCAACCUGGGAACUGCAUUCAAAACUGACUGACUAGAGUAUGGUAGAGGGUGGUGGAAUUUCCUGUGUAGCGGUGAAAUGCGUAGAUAUAGGAAGGAACACCAGUGGCGAAGGCGACCACCUGGACUAAUACUGACGCUGAGGAGCGAAAGCAUGGGGAGCGAACA
rnacentral:rRNA from 1 species